rnacentral:rRNA from 1 species
UACGUAGGUGACAAGCGUUGUCAGGAUUUACUGGGCGUAAAGAGCGCGCAGGCGGUCGUUCAAGUCGAGUGUGAAAGCCCCCGGCUCAACUGGGGAGGGUCACUCGAUACUGAUCGGCUCGAAGGCAGGAGAGGGAAGUGGAAUUCCCGGUGUAGUGGUGAAAUGCGUAGAUAUCCGGAGGAACACCAGCGGCGAAGGCGGCAUCCUGGACUGGUCCUGACACUCAGGAGCGAAAGCGUGGGGAGCGAUCCGG